rnacentral:rRNA from 1 species
GACGAACGCUGGCGGCGUGCUUAACACAUGCAAGUCGAACGGAAAGGCCCUGCUUUUGUGGGGUGCUCGAGUGGCGAACGGGUGAGUAACACGUGAGUAACCUGCCCUUGACUUUGGGAUAACUUCAGGAAACUGGGGCUAAUACCGGAUAGGAGCUCCUGCUGCAUGGUGGGGGUUGGAAAGUUUCGGCGGUUGGGGAUGGACUCGCGGCUUAUCAGCUUGUUGGUGGGGUAGUGGCUUACCAAGGCUUUGACGGGUAGCCGGCCUGAGAGGGUGACCGGCCACAUGGGGACUGAGAUGCGGCCCAGACUCCUACGGGAGGCAGCAGUGGGGAAUAUUGCACAAUGGGCGGAAGCCUGAUGCAGCAACGCCGCGUGCGGGAUGACGGCCUUCGGGUUGUAAACCGCUUUCGCCUGUGACGAAGCGUGAGUGACGGUAAUGGGUAAAGAAGCACCGGCUAACUACGUG